UACGCAGGCGGAAAAUUAAGUCAGUGAUGAAAUCCUGCAGCUUAACUGUAGAACUGUUAUUGAUACUGAUUUUCUCGAAUUCAGUUGAGGUAGGCGGAAUGUGCAAUGUAGCGGUGAAAUGCUUAGAUAUUACACAGAACACCGAUUGCGAAGGCAGCUUACUAAGCUGAUAUUGACGCUGAGGCACGAAAGCGUGGGGAGCGAACAGGAUUAGAUACCCUGGUAGUCC
rnacentral:rRNA from 1 species